rnacentral:rRNA from 1 species
AGAGUUUGAUUCUGGCUCAGAUUGAACGCUGGCGGCAUGCUUUACACAUGCAAGUCGAACGGUAACAGGCCGCAAGGUGCUGACGAGUGGCGAACGGGUGAGUAAUGCAUCGGAACGUGCCCAGUCGUGGGGGAUAACGCAGCGAAAGCUGUGCUAAUACCGCAUAUUCUGUGAGCAGGAAAGCAGGGGAUCGCAAGACCUUGCGCUGAUUGAGCGGCCGAUAUCAGAUUAGCUAGUUGGUGAGGUAAAGGCUCACCAAGGCGACGAUCUGUAGCGGGUCUGAGAGGAUGAUCCGCCACACUGGAACUGAGACACGGUCCAGACUCCUACGGGAGGCAGCAGUGGGGAAUUUUGGACAAUGGGGGCAACCCUGAUCCAGCCAUGCCGCGUGAGUGAAGAAGGCCUUCGGGUUGUAAAGCUCUUUCAGCCGGGAAGAAAUCACAUGGGUUAAUACCCUGUGUGGAUGACGGUACCGGAAUAAGAAGCACCGGCUAACUACGUGCCAGCAGCCGCGGUAAUACGUAGGGUGCGAGCGUUAAUCGGAAUUACUGGGCGUAAAGCGUGCGCAGGCGGUUUGUUAAGAUAGGCGUGAAAUCCCCGGGCUCAACCUGGGAACUGCGUUUAUGACUGGCAGGCUAGAGUAUGGCAGAGGGGGGGUGGAAUUCCACGCGUAGCAGUGAAAUGCGUAGAGAUGUGGAGGAACACCGAUGGCGAAGGCAGCCCCCUGGGCCAAUACUGACGCUCAUGCACGAAAGCGUGGGUAGCAAACAGGAUUAGAUACCCUGGUAGUCCACGCCCUAAACGAUGUCAACUAGGUGUUGGGUGGGUAAAACCAUUUAGUACCGGAGCUAACGCGUGAAGUUGACCGCCUGGGGAGUACGGCCGCAAGGUUAAAACUCAAA